AGCCAGCAAAUUUGCUGUUUGCCGCCAGCCUGCCUACAUGUUUGCAAGCUGUAUUUGUCGCACUCGACAACAACUUCAACAACACCAGCAGCAGCGAUGAAGGCAAUGCAAAAACACAACACAACCAUAUAGUCUCAGGCAACGCACGCCUCGCGUUCGAUGCACAAAGAUUCAAUGAACUAUAUUCCCCCGAAAAAGAAAACACGCACACACUCACGAAGAAGAAAUUCCAAAACAGAGAGCUUUCUCAUCGUUGCGCGGCCUCCGACCAAUGGCAAUUACCUUCAAAAGGUCUUCUUCUAUUCAUCAAACAAAAAGGGGAGAGAGAGAGAGCGCCAGAGUAAAUACACAAAAAAUCCAUACCAAAAGCACGACCUCUCUCUCUGCGGAUUCUCUUGCCAUUGAAACUCUCUUAAAUGCAAUGUGUCUAAGGCCAACAAACCACCCAAUACUGACAGCCCAUCACCAUCAUCAUGGGUGAGUGUGUAAUUCAUUCAUUUACUUUUCCGUGUGUGUUGCUGUAUAUUGAACCCAGCAGAGUGGUGUUUCCCAGAAGGGGGUAACUGAGGUAGGAGAAUGACCCGAACAUAUUGAUAAAGGCGCGAUAUUUGUUGGUCUAUAAACUUGCGUAGUAUGAAGGUUCUCUAUUGAAAAAUAAUCGUGGAAUCGCGUAGACCAGUGGGUGGCUUAUUAUAUCGUCAAUUAAUUAUUAAAAAUUCCAUAUAUAUGUAAAAUUUUACUUUUGGUAUAAAGUCAAAACUAUUACAUGUAAAGGUGACAAAAAUGAUUUUACAAGAGAAGUAGAAUGUUAAGAUCCCAAUUUCAAACUGAAAAGGUACUAAUCUGAUAUUCAAAAAGGGAAAUUACGUGUAAUUUUUCCCCCCAACCCCAAAAGUUAAGCUCAAAAAAACAUUUGAAUUCCAAAUAUCUCUUCUGCUAUCAAAAAAUAUUGAAAACAAUUCUUGGCUUCUUCGUAUUUUCAUGGGCACAAUCUUCUUCUUUUACUACAUAAAAAUGAAAGUACUGCCUUUUGUUUGUUUCGAAUAGACUCAAAAACGGGAAAACGAUUUUCAUAAUAUUUUUACAAAAAAUAUGAUGCUUCAUUUUAUCACAUCCGCGAGGGGUUCGAAACCUCCCCUAACCACAAUUUUCAAAAACGCAAAAUCCCGGAGAUGGGUUUAUCGAUUAAAGCGAAAUUUUGUACGCCACUUUAUGGUAACCCAAAAAUACAAAAUUGGUAUAAAACUUUGGGAUCAAAUAACCGUGGGGGAAGGCCUACACCAAAACCCAUUAAAACGGACAUGUUUACCGAUUGAGACAAUGUUGGCACUAAAUGAACGGUAUUGAACUUAUACACAAAUUUGGGGUCAAAUCUCACCCUCACGCCAAAAAUUGCCCCCCAAACCGACAAUAUGGUAUUAAAAUUAAAGGCGGAUCGCCCCAUCCCAAAAUUAUGCCCCAAAUGGACCUUGUAUAAGUCAUCCAUGCGAGUUCUGAAGAGUCAAGGUAAAGUCGACAUAGAAGAAAAUUACCAUAGAAGCGUCAAGUGGAAAAUCGACCAAAAAUUCUGCAAGAGUAUGACCAGCACCCAGCUCAAAUAGUCAAAAAUGAUGUACAAGGGUCAACCAAGGAUAUGUCACUCUGAAUCGACUAAACAUGCAAUUCAUUCAUAACUUCCCCCAAUUCAUAUUUCACUUUCUUUACUACAUUACUUCCCAAGUUCCCAUGCGGUUCUUUUAUAAGAAUUUCCAAUCUAUUCUGCUGGAGACAAGAAGACACGAAACUCCUUUCAUUAUAGGCACCAAAAAAAUUA
rnacentral:sRNA from 1 species